rnacentral:lncRNA from 1 species
GGGAAAUGGUCAGAUCAUCUCACAUGGAGCUUCGCAGGUUCGAAAGCUUCCUUUACAAGCCACGUGUGUGGAACGCUGAAGUGGCUAUAGAUUUUCAGACGACCCUCAAUCCAGAGCUGAGGUUGCUUUCCCCCGAAGAGAAGACACGACUGAAGAAGGACGUAACUCGGGCCCU